GACGAACGCUGGCGGCGUGCUUAACACAUGCAAGUCGAACGGAAAGGCCCUGCUUUUGUGGGGUGCUCGAGUGGCGAACGGGUGAGUAACACGUGAGUAACCUGCCCUUGACUUUGGGAUAGCUUCAGGAAACUGGGGCUAAUACCGGAUAGGAGCUCCUGCUGCAUGGUGGGGGUUGGAAAGUUUCGGCGGUUGGGGAUGGACUCGCGGCUUAUCAGCUUGUUGGUGGGGUAGUGGCUUACCAAGGCUUUGACGGGUAGCCGGCCUGAGAGGGUGACCGGCCACAUUGGGACUGAGAUACGGCCCAGACUCCUACGGGAGGCAGCAGUGGGGAAUAUUGCACAAUGGGCGGAAGCCUGAUGCAGCAACGCCACGUGCGGGAUGACGGCCUUCGGGUUGUAAACCGCUUUCGCCUGUGACGAAGCGUGAGUGACGGUAAUGGGUAAAGAAGCACCGGCUAACUACGUG
rnacentral:rRNA from 1 species